rnacentral:tRNA from 1 species
GGGCAGUUACCAGAGUGGCCAAAUGGGGCAGACUGUAAAUCUGCUGGGUCUUCCCUUCGGUGGUUCGAAUCCAUCACUGCCCA